GUAGUAUUCCCUCCGUCCCAAAAUUCUUGUCUUACAUUUGUUUAGAUACGGAUGUAUCUAACACUAAAAUGUAACUAGAUACAUCCGUAUUUAGACAAAUUUAAGACAAAAAUUUUGGGACGGAGGGAGUACAAA
rnacentral:pre_miRNA from 1 species